rnacentral:rRNA from 1 species
GACGAACGCUGGCGGCGUGCCUAAUACAUGCAAGUAGAACGCACAGUUUAUACCGUAGCUUGCUACACCAUAGACUGUGAGUUGCGAACGGGUGAGUAACGCGUAGGUAACCUGCCUGGUAGCGGGGGAUAACUAUUGGAAACGAUAGCUAAUACCGCAUAAUAUUGAUUAUUGCAUGAUAAUUGAUUGAAAGCUGCUAUUGCAUCACUACCAGAUGGACCUGCGUUGUAUUAGCUAGUAGGUGAGGUAACGGCUCACCUAGGCGACGAUACAUAGCCGACCUGAGAGGGUGAUCGGCCACACUGGGACUGAGACACGGCCCAGACUCCUACGGGAGGCAGCAGUAGGGAAUCUUCGGCAAUGGACGAAAGUCUGACCGAGCAACGCCGCGUGAGUGAAGAAGGUUUUCGGAUCGUAAAGCUCUGUUGUAAGAGAAGAACGGGUGUGAGAGUGGAAAGUUCACACUGUGACGGUAUCUUACCAGAAAGGGACGGCUAACUACGUG